GAUGAAGAACGUAGCGAAAUGCGAUAAGUAGUGUGAAUUGCAGAAUUCAGUGAAUCAUCGAAUCUUUGAACGCACAUUGCGCCCCAUGGUAUUCCGUGGGGCAUGCCUGUUCGAGCGUCAUUUACCCCCUCAAGCUCAGCUUGGUGAUGGGUGUCUGUCCCGCCUUUGCGCGUGGACUCGCCUCAAAUGCAGUUGGCAGCUUAUCCCUCGGCUCUAAACGCAGCAGAUUUGCGUCGAGCGUCGUGUGGACGGGCUCUCCAGUAAGCAAACCCCCCAAAAUUGACCUCGGAUCAGGUAGGGAUACCCGCUGAACUUAAGCAUAUCAAUAAGCGGAGGA
rnacentral:misc_RNA from 1 species